UCCUUCUUGGGGUCACACCUGGAGAGUUUCUAGUACUCUACCAGUCUCAAAUAUGGGAGGGAGAGACAAGCAGAGGCUUACCCAUUCCAUUCCUAGCUUGGGCAGUGGCUAGCGAGUAGUAGGCAAUCUGCUACAAGU